AGAGCCUCAAAACUUGUGCCGGGCUGUUGCUGGUGGUGCCGCCGGGGAUUACGGGGCCAAGACCCUCUGUCCCUCUUCCCCUUUCCGCGGGAUCCAGCUUCACCCAGGGAGCUGCUGUUGCUGCCCCGAGUGCGAAGAAGUUCGGAGACCGGAGCAUUAAGGCUUGGCGCCCCUCUCCUUUAGGAGCCAGAGCCGGGGCUUGCACCCUGGAAGUUUUUCCUCCACCGCUAACUUUGUCUAUGGAGGAGAGAGUCCAGGCAGGUGUGUGAGCGCUGCUGGCCACGGGCUUUCUGGAGGCACAACUGACUACCAAGAUGAAGAACUGAGACUCAGAAAGUAUGCUACAACAGAAAAAGCUCUGACUGUGGAGUUAAAGACCUUGGUUCAAAUCCAGCUUUUAACACUGUCUGCAUAACCUUGGAGAAGAGUUUGCCUUGAUCCCUUGAGAAGGUGGAGAACGAUGGUGUGCAGCUUCAUCACAAUUUGAAGAUCAAAGAUUGAACUGCCAUCGAGAAGCAGAGCUGUGGGACCAAGAAGGAGUUGAACAGACAACUCUCUUUUUGUCCUCCUUUCCUAACACAGUCAUCAUCCUCUCUUGCUGCUGCAGAAAUAGAUGCUUCAGAAGAAGAGAAAUUGAUCAGU